rnacentral:rRNA from 1 species
CUGGUUGAUCCUGCCAGUAGUCAUAUGCUUGUCUCAAAGACUAAGCCAUGCAUGUCUAAGUAUAAAUGUUAUACAGUGAAACUGCGAAUGGCUCAUUAAAACAGUUAUAGUUUAUUUGAUAAUCAAACUUACAUGGAUAACCGUGGUAAUUCUAGAGCUAAUACAUGCUGUUAAGCCUGACUUCUAGGAAGGGCUGUAUUUAUUAGAUAACAAACCAAUAUUCCUUGUGUCUAUUGUGACGACUCAUAAUAACUGAUCGAAUCGCAUGGACUUUGUCCGCGAUACAUCAUUCAAGUUUCUGCCCCAUCAGCCUUCGAUGGUAGUGUAUUGGACUACCAUGGCUCUUACGGGUAACGGAGGAUUAGGGUUCGAUUCCGGAGAGGGAGCCUGAGAAACGGCUACCACAUCUAAGGAAGGCAGCAGGCGCGUAAAUUACCCAAUCCUGACUCAGGGAGGUAGUGACAAGAAAUAACGGACCGAAGCAAUUGUUUCGGGAUUGCAAUGAGUAGAAUUUAAACCCCUUUACGAGGAUCAAUUGGAGGGAAAGUCUGGUGCCA